GUAUAUCUAAGUGUAUUCCAAAGUGGAUUUGAGCAUUUUUUUAAAAUAAAAAAUUAAAAUUGUUAAGUUAAACAAAACAAAAAAUCCUUAACCCUUUCAACUUUCAUCUUCUUCCUCAGCUUGUUUCUUAGAAAACCACACAUCUACUCUGUUUCUUAGAAAACCACACAUCUACUCUGUUUCUUAGAAAACCACACAUCUACUCAUCUAAUUUCUUGUUUUGAUUGUUUAUUCCAAAUUUUAGUUGAACUUUUUACCACAAUCUCAAUAUGCACACUUUUUCUUUUCACGACUCUCUUCCUAUACACCCUCCCCAACACUCACCCCCACCCUCACAAUGUUCACUCCUUCAUAAACCCACUACUCGCCACCACCACAUUGACCACAUUAUUUUCCACAUGUCAGACAAAACCAUCGAUGACGACUUCCACUUCACUGAGUUUUGGUUCUGUUUUGAGUUUAGAUGCAAUUGAACUUGAUUCAGAAAUAUCACUCGAUAGGUUUUUCGACUGAGUUUCUUUUAGUCUUCGACGAUGGGCGUGUUACCAAAUGUUUCUCGAUCAUGUGACGCAAUUUCAAACAUGUGAUGCUCGUCAAUGUGAAAACUGGAAUUGAAACAUUGAUUACUGUAGAUGUGAAAAUCAAUUUGAAACAUGUGGUGGGGUUGUCAACAUACAUUGUUAUUUUGUAGGAGGGGAUCAGGUGGAUGGGGGAGAAAAAGGAAGGAGAAGAUGGAUGAUAUUAUUUGUAUCCAACAAUUUUUCUUAACAAUUUUCUGAUUUUAUAAGAAAUGGGAUGAGGAAGAAGAAGAAAGAUGAAGGAGUUAAUAACUCUUUGUUUUUUCCAAACAACUUCCUGG
rnacentral:lncRNA from 1 species